GAUGAACGCUGGCGGCGUGCCUAAUACAUGCAAGUCGAGCGAACAGACGAGGAGCUUGCUCCUCUGACGUUAGCGGCGGACGGGUGAGUAACACGUGGAUAACCUACCUAUAAGACUGGGAUAACUUCGGGAAACCGGCGCUAAUACCGGAUAAUAUAUUGAACCGCAUGGUUCAAUAGUGAAAGACGGUUUUGCGGUCACUUAUAGAUGGAUCCCCGCCGCAUUAGCUAGUUGGUAAGGUAACGGCUUACCAAGGCGACGAUGCGUAGCCGACCUGAGAGGGUGAUCGGCCACACGGGAACUGAGACACGGUCCAGACUCCUACGGGAGGCAGCAGUAGGGAAUCUUCCGCAAUGGGCGAAAGCCUGACGGAGCAACGCCGCGUGAGUGAUGAAGGUCUUCGGAUCGUAAAACUCUGUUAUUAGGGAAGAACAAAUGUGUAAGUAACUAUGCACGUCUUGACGGUACCUAAUCAGAAAGCCACGGCUAACUACGUG
rnacentral:rRNA from 1 species